rnacentral:rRNA from 1 species
CCUACGGGAGGCAGCAGUAGGGAAUCUUCCGCAAUGGACGAAAGUCUGACGGAGCAACGCCGCGUGAGUGAUGAAGGUUUUCGGAUCGUAAAGCUCUGUUGUUAGGGAAGAACAAGUGCCGUUCGAAUAGGGCGGCACCUUGACGGUACCUAACCAGAAAGCCACGGCUAACUACGUGCCAGCAGCCGCGGUAAUACGUAGGUGGCAAGCGUUGUCCGGAAUUAUUGGGCGUAAAGCGCGCGCAGGUGGUUCCUUAAGUCUGAUGUGAAAGCCCACGGCUCAACCGUGGAGGGUCAUUGGAAACUGGGGGACUUGAGUGCAGAAGAGGAAAGUGGAAUUCCAAGUGUAGCGGUGAAAUGCGUAGAUAUUUGGAGGAACACCAGUGGCGAAGGCGACUUUCUGGUCUGUAACUGACACUGAGGCGCGAAAGCGUGGGGAGCAAACAGGAUUAGAUACCCUGGUAGUCCACGCCGUAAACGAUGAGUGCUAAGUGUUAGGGGGUUUCCGCCCCUUAGUGCUGCAGCUAACGCAUUAAGCACUCCGCCUGGGGAGUACGGUCGCAAGACUGAAACUCAAAGGAAUUGACGG